GAUGAACGCUGGCGGCGUGCCUAAUACAUGCAAGUCGAGCGAACGGACGAGAAGCUUGCUUCUCUGAUGUUAGCGGCGGACGGGUGAGUAACACGUGGAUAACCUACCUAUAAGACUGGGAUAACUUCGGGAAACCGGAGCUAAUACCGGAUAAUAUUUUGAACCGCAUGGUUCAAAAGUGAAAGACGGUCUUGCUGUCACUUAUAGAUGGAUCCGCGCUGCAUUAGCUAGUUGGUAAGGUAACGGCUUACCAAGGCAACGAUGCAUAGCCGACCUGAGAGGGUGAUCGGACACACUGGAACUGAGACACGGUCCAGACUCCUACGGGAGGCAGCAGUAGGGAAUCUUACGCAAUGGGCGAAAGCCUGACGGAGCAACGCCGCGUGAGUGAUGAAGGUCUUCGGAUCGUAAAACUCUGUUAUUAGGGAAGAACAUAUGUGUAAGUAACUGUGCACAACUUGACGGUACCUAAUCAGAAAGCCACGGCUAACUACGUG
rnacentral:rRNA from 1 species